UUAUGGUCCCACAAAAGAGAAGGAAGUAUGAAGAGGAGAUGAGCAGGAAGCAGAGUCCAAGGUGCCCUGGGAAAGGGAAGUGAGAGGAUGCCAGUGGGAUGGAGGUCUAGACCCUCUAUAAAAGGAGGAACUCAAAUAGGGCCUUUAGGAAAGAAGAGGAGCUCUCCCAGCCAUCGGGGAGAAGAGCAUUCCAGAACGUUGAACUAGUAAGGGCAGAAGCGGAGACACGGCCGUGGUCCAUCCUCGCAUCAUCUAGCAAGGCUGGAGAAGUGGGCAGCAAGAGACGAGUCUAGAAAGGAAGACCGAGGCCAAAUGAGGGAGACUUCAGCAUGAACCUGUAGUGUCAGGAGGUUUUCUUCCACUGAAAAGGAGGAUGUGUCGACAGUUUGGAGCAGUGGAAGGAUGUGGUUGAAUCUGUGCUUUGGAAAGGUAGGUGGCGGGGCAGUGGGAGGGAUGGGUUACAGCAGGCCACCUGUCUGAGAACUGGAAUUUGGUACCUUGUCCUCUGAGAGAGCCCAGCCCAUGCUCAGAGUGUGUCUGGGUCUCAGGCCCACUAGCACCUGCCCAACUGCAGGGUCACAGCCCUGGAGAGAAGCCAGGAGGGGCUGGAGGAGCGAGUGGGAUGGGCUUGGGUCACAGAGCUGAACCAAGGCAGCAGUUAUGUGUGUGUGUUUGGUCCCUUCAGUCAUGUCCACCUCUUUGUGACCCCAGGGACUGUAGCCCACCAUCCUCCUCUGCCCAUGGGAUUCUCCAGGCAAGAAUACUUCAGUGGGUUGUCAUUUCCUCCAAGGCAGCAGUGGAGACCAUUCAAAUUAAUGCUGCAAGUUGGUUGUACCCAGAGUGGCAGGGGGUGUCUUUUGACUGCUAAAAAAGGUAUAAUCAGAAAGGAAGAGACCCUGAAAGAUGAUGGCUUGAAUAAACAUGGCUGCUGCCUGUUGAGAAUGUGCCAGGCACUGUGCUAAACUCCUCCCUCCAAGACCUCAUGGCAGUUUGGCAAGAAAGUUGCACGAUGCCCACGGGUCACUAUGCUCAGGUGAUGAGAAGAAACAGACAUGAGCAAAACUGAGGCACGCAUACCACCAGUUGAUAACAGAGUGAUCUGAACCCAGGACUGGCUGCUGCAGCCCACCUCUGGGUCACUCCACACACCACCCUCCCUCGAGGAGAACUGGCCCCAGCCCUCCCGGUAUCUGCCGAGCCCUGGCUCUGUGUGCUCUCUAAGCAACCUUCAGGGUUUCAUUUGGUUUCCUGAGUUGGCUUCCAGACCAAGGAGAGCGCUUUCUGGUUAUAAAUUAUUGAGCUGACUUCCUGCUACAAAUCAGUCUCCUGUGAGUCUGGCUGUGGGGGCCAGUUUUUCCAGGUCCUGAAUGACUCUGGAGAAAGGCAUUCCAGAGGUUGGAUGGUCAGGGCAGAGCCCCACCCCUAGGGCUCUGACAGUAGCCUGGCAGUGCUGGGUCCAGCCUUGACUGGACGCCAGG
rnacentral:lncRNA from 1 species